rnacentral:lncRNA from 1 species
AUGGGGUUUGUUAAAGUUGUCAAGAGUAAGGCCUACUUUAAGAGAUACUAAGUGAAAUGUAGAAGACAAUGACAGGGUAAAACUGAUUACUAUGCUCAGAAAUCCUUGGUGAUAUAAGAUAAAAAUAAGUACAACAUGCCUAAAUACAGGGUGAUAGUUUGUGUAACAGAUAGAGAUAUCAUUUGUCAGAUUGCUUAUGCCCAUAUAGGAGGGAAUAUGAUAAUGUAUGCAGCUUAUGCAUAUGAACUGCCAAAACAUGGUGUGAAGGUUGGCCUGACAAAUUAUGCUAUAGCAUACUGUACUGGCCUCCUGCUGGCCUGCAGACUUCUCAGUAGGUUUGGCAUGGACAAGAUCUAAGAAGUCCAAGUAGAGAUGAAUGGAGAUGAAUACAAUGUAAAAACCAUUGAUGCUCAGCCAGGUGCCUUUACGUGCUAUUUGGAUGCAGGCCUUGCCAGAACUACCGAUAAGCUUUUAUGGGGUCUGGAAAGGAGUUGUGGAUGGAGGUUUGUUGAUUCCUCACAAUAUUAAACGAUUUCCUGGUUAUGAUUCUGAAAGCAAGAAAUUUAAUGCAGAAGUACAUCAAAAGCCCAUUAUGGAUCCAAAUGCUGCAGGCUACAUGUGUUACCUAAUAGAAAAAGAUGAAGAUGCUUACAAGAAAUGUUUCUCUUAAUACAUAAAGAACAGCAUAACUUCAGACAUGAAGGAGAUGUACAAGAAAGCUCACGCUGCUAUAUAAGAGAAUCCAGUCUAUGAGAAGAAGUCCGAGAAAGAAGUUUAAAAAAAGAAGUGGAACCAUCUGAAAAUGUCCCUUGCCCAGAAGAAAGAUCAGGUAGCUCAAAAGAAGACAAGCUUCCUCAGAGCUCAGGAGCAGGCUGCCAAGAGCUACCUACACUGAA